UGGUUCCGGCAUCGAUGAAGAACGCAGCGAAAUGCGAUAACUAAUACGAAUUGCAGAAUUCAGUGAAUCAUCGAGUCUUUGAACGCACAUUGCGCCCGCUAGUAUUCUGGCGGGCAUGCCUGUCCGAGCGUCAUUUCACCACUCGAGCACCGCUCGGUGUUGGGGCGCGCGGGUCCCCAGCGGCCCGCGGCCUUGAAGGCCAGCGGCGGCGGCCCCAGGAGCCCUCUGCGUAGUGAAACCCUCGCACCGGGAGCCUUCGGCCCGCUAGCCUGCCAAACCAGGAGCCCCUCGCAGGGCUCUAUACGGUUGACCUCGGAUCAGGUAGGGAUACCCGCUGA
rnacentral:misc_RNA from 1 species